GCUUUGCUGGAGAAUGAGCUCGCAGACAGACAAGCGAUUGACAGCUUUUAUCAUCAAACUUAUUUUCUAUUAUUUGUUGAAAGUCUGGCACGGUGGGCUUCUAAAAUUGUAUAUAUGUUGACUAAACCAGAUGACGUUACAAGAGCGAGGGUUGUAACAUUAUUUUGCUGCAACCUCAGUCAGGAGCACAUCACAUCGAAGCGUUACUGGGUGCUCCUGCAUGAUCUGCUACUGCCAAUUUGCCCAUCUUGCCAAGGUGACAGUUGCUCAGGUGUUUAUGUGCUGUACUGGAUUUUCCUUAAAGAGGAUGGAAAGAUGUAGAACAAGAGCCACUUACAACUUGCUUUUAGCCACAAUUACCUUCAGUGAUUUCCUUUUAAAGGCAGUAGUUAUUGUUUUAAGUUAUAAAGUAAUGCACUAAUUUUUUUUUUGUGUGUAGUAUAAACUCGUUUCAUGGCUUUUUUCUCAUUUUUAAGUACCUUGGGAGUUUACAUAGAUACUGAAUGUGAUGUCUGAGGGUGAGAUGUUAUGCCUGUCUUUCCCUGUAGACAUUGGUUUAUGUUCUCAGUGCAAUAAGAAAACCAGGAAAUAAGAAUUAUGAUGAUUUAGGUGAUGUUGUUAUGGGACAGUAUCUUUUUACAGAUACCGUGCCUCAUCCAUCAUUCAUAAAUUCACACACAUGCAACAUACCAUUUACUGCAUUUGUUUACAUUAAAUAAUAACAUAGAAU